GGGGGGGGGUUGGGGGGAAGAGGAGUGGUUUUAGGCAGAGGGAGAAAUUAGGGGCCAAAAGGGAGACUGGAUGAAGCACUGAUAUAGUCUUUAUAAUGUGUAGGGUUCACAGACUUUGCGAUUUCAGGCUCCACUUGUCAAGGCUGUCUUGGUUUGGAGGUACAUUUCUAUAAAUCAAGGCUAGCGCAACAGGCCAGGCUGAGGAAAACACUCCAAGAAACCCAGAGUGGAGUCUGAGUUUAAGGCCAAGACACAGAUCAUAACCAAUAAUACAGUCCAAAGUACAUGAAGAACUGGAACAAAGAAGGUGGGGCAAAGGAAAUCAGGAACAGGAAUAGAGGAUGGAACAGCUCAAGGUAAGGAUCCAGGAAGAGCUGCAACACCUACAAAAAAAGGUGGAGUCAUUGAAAUACUGCACUGUUGACCGAGAAGAACACACAAGGAUUCUGCUUUUUAUAUAUAUAGUGUGCAUAGCUAUUUCACUCCUGAAGAGUCCUAUGAACUGCCUAUCAGAGGGAGUGAUGUUUAGAAUUCCUUUUUCCUGAAAGGGUCUUCCAACAUCCUGGGCAAAUCUAACCUUGGACAGCUCCUCAUGCUAGAUCCCAGCCUUAGCUUUUGGGACCUUUCGUGCACCCUUGAAUCCCCUGAAACCUCUUUUCCACACAAGGGACAAGCUGGACUUGGGCAGAUUAUGCAGCCGCACAACUGGUUGCUUGGUAUUGUCGGCAUGGAGACAUUUGGGGGCGGGGGGGGAGGGGGAUGAAUGAAGUGGCAUCAUCAUUUAACUGCAUUUUAUAUUUGUGCACUUUUGGAGAUUACAUCAGGUUUGGAAAAAAUGUCUAACUGAACUUACCACAUGAAUGUGCUAGAGCUGUCUGUCUGAAUGCACAAUCAAUAAGGGCAGGAGGGAGCACAAUUAAAAUGAUGAAAUGUGGGUGGCUGAGUAGCGGUGCGGAUCUGAGGAGGUUUGGUUAGUGGCAGCUUCCCAGGCAGUAUGGGUUUCUCUUCUGUUUUCCUCUCAGGUUUUUAAUAAUGAGAUUCUCAGAAGCAACCUAUUUCAAAUAUUGCAAUGAAUGCUUGAAUCAAAUGUCAACCCAGCACUUUUGUACCAUCACACCCAAGUUACAAAUUCCGUCUUCUCCCUGAGCUCUCCAAAGGAAAGGCACAAUUCCUCUCCUAUUGUAGUCACUGGCCAAACACCCGCUGCUUUCAGAGGAGCUGGACUCAAUCCAAUGCAUGCAAGACAAAACCGCAGUUGAACUUUUUCUGCGUUAGUGACCGAGUAUAGGUUAACUUGUCAACUUCAUUUGUGUGCUAAUCUGGCAUUCAGUACAUUAAUUACAUUGCUAAAUUGCUCUUCAUUAGGGCUUCAAGCCUUUAAAAAUUACAAUCGAUAGGAAUGGCUCUACAGCGCACUUAAGACGACAGCCUAAAAACUAACUAUGCAUUAUAUAUUUUGUGAUUGAUUAUGUUUCACCAGUAAGUCAUUCCACAGGGUGCUAGCUUUUCAAAGAAUUGGAAUUUGGUUCUUUAUUUUGCGAUUUGUACUCUGCUACAUGGCUCCAUUUGACCUAUGGCCACCAAGAUAAGGGUGCAGGUGGUACAUUUGUACCAGGAGCAGAGCCAGAGGGUGGGGCCUGCAGCUGAGUUUUCUUUUCUUUUUAAAAUUUAGCCUCUCAGCAUUUUGGAACAAACACUAUGAAGCAAAAUUUACAGGCACCAUUCAAAACAACUGCACUAUGAGGAAAAAGCCUGCUCUCAUCUCUCAGUGUUUUUAGCCAAUGGGUGAAGUCAGAGAUGUGAUUGACUAGUGAUAGAGAGAAAUUUAGAGUCAUCCAAGCCUGAAGAAGGUCCAAAAAUGACUUCAAAAAUGACCCAGGACAUCCAUUAUCCAGACAGUGGAGAAGACACUUCCUGGUUCAUUCUGAAGCUGUAUUUUUCCAUCUUCCUUGGUAGAGAAGCGACUGUUGCCCAGAAAAAAAUAAUUGAGAAAUCCAAGAGUUAAAUAUAGCUGUGCAUGUCCAUCCAAAAACAAAAAAGCAGCAAAGAGAGGAGACCAUGCCUUUUCACUCUUAAAAACUAUGUGUGUAUAUGCGUGCGCUUUCUGAGUAAACAUUAUUUUAAAAUUACUUUGCUAGUGCAAAUAAAAAUAAAACCCAUCAUUAGUAUAUCUGUAUGGCAGGAUUGUGGCUAUUAUGGCUGAGAAAACAUGGGUUAUAUCAGCCCUGCUGAGUAACCCAGUGUUGCUGUAUUAAUAUUGCUGGGGCAGGGGUGAUGAGAAAGAGAGCAGGAUAUGGCAAUCCUGCAGUGUAGGCUAGUGUUGUUAUCCUGUCCAUUGGUGUAUUGGGUUUGUUUUUAAUUCUAGGAAAUGCAGGGGUUUUGUGGGGGGAUAAGGUGAUUGUAGGAACAACAUGUUGGGUAGGGAUAGUUUGUUACUUUACAGUCAUGGAGGGCUUCCUGGGGAUGGAUUAUUGCUGCUGGUAUAACACUAAAAUACAGUGGUACCUUGGGUUACAGUUGAGAGCCAGUGUGGUGUAGUGGUUAAGAGCGGUAGUCUCGUAAUCUGGUGAACCAGAUUCAUGUCCCUGCUCCUCCACAUGCAGCUGCUGGGUGACCUUGGGCCAAUCACACUUCUCUGAAGUCUCUCAGCCCCACUCACCUCACAGACUGUUUGUUGUGGGGGAGGAAGGGAAAGGAUAAUGUUAGCCGCUUUGAGACUCCUUCGGGUAGUGAUAAAGCAGAAUAUCAAAUCCAAACUCUUCUACUUCUUCUUCUUCUUCUUCUUCUUCUUCUUCUUCUUCUUCCAGAUGCUUCAGGUUACAGACGCUUCAGGUUACAGACGCUUCAGGUUACAGACUCCGCUAACCCAGAAAUAGUACCUCGGGUUAAGAACUUUACUUUAGGAUGAGAACAGAAAUCGCACAGUGGUGGCGAGAGGCCCCAUUAGCUAAAGUGGUGCUUCAGGUUAAGAACAGUUUCAGGUUAAGAAUAGACCUCCAGAACGAAUUAAGUUCUUAACCAGAGGUACCACUGUGGAUAUAUUCAUGUUAAAAACUUAAAUCCUUUUUACUUAAAGGAAAAAGAGAGAGAGAAAAAAGUGGCUGUUUGACCUGUGCUGUAAACCCUAGUGUAGUGAUUAUGAGGUAUAAAAAAUAAUCACAGCAAAUGCUCUUAGAAUACACUACAUGCUUUUUGACAAUUUAAUCUGGAAUUUAUAGAAGCAUGGGCACCUGAACUUUUGAUUACUGUAAAUGUUAAAUUUCUUUUAACCUCCCCUUGCCCCCUUCUAACUGCCAUCAGAAGUAUACCUGGUUUGGAAUGAAUGUAGUAUUGCCAGCCCAGUAACAACUGAUGGAAAAAAGAUACAAUAACAUAGCUGGUGUACAACUCAUCAAACUUGAAUUGUUUUCAUGAUUUAGGGUUGGCACUAGGGGAGCGCAGGGCUCUUCUGCAUUUUAGAGCUGUGUGGCAGGCAGGAAUCCAACAGGUUGUUUUUUUCUAGAAUCAAAAUAAAAUGAUGGGGAAAGUUUCACCUGAUUACAUUCUGUCUAUCAGACAUCUUUUCAGUUCCACAUGGCCCCUUUUUUAUUUUUGAGCUCUCCACCCCACUUGGAAAGGAGGAUGCAAGCUGCCACACACAGGAAGCAUGUGAAAAUGUUAUGCAAAUUUGUAUCCUCUUUCACAACUGGGCCAGAGGUCUCAAUCAGUGCCGGAUUUACGUAUAGACUAAACAAGCUAUAGCUUAGGGCCUUACUCUCUUGGGGGCCCCCCAAAAAAAUUAAAGGAAAAACACUGGAUUUACAUUUCCAAAAUAUAAGAUAAAAAACAAAUAAAAUAAAACCUACAUACAGCAACAGUGUUUUGUUUUGUGUUAUGUAGGCUCCUAUGAUGUAAGUAGGGACGCGGGUGGCGCUGUGGGUAAAACCACAGUGCCUAGGACUUGCCGAUCGUAUGGUCGGCGGUUCGAAUCCCCACAGCGGGGUGAGCUCCCGUCGUUCGGUCCCAGCUCCUGCCCACCUAGCAGUUUGAAAGCACCCUUAAGUGCAAGUAGAUAAAUAGGUACCGCUUUAUAGCGGGAAGGUAAACGGCGUUUCCGUGUGCUGCGCUGGUGCUGGCUCGCCAGAGCAGCUUUGUCACGCUGGCCACAUGACCCGGAAGUGUCUCCGGACAGCGCUGGGCCCCGGCCUCUUAAGUGAGAUGGGCGCACAACCCUAGAGUCGGACACGACUGGCCCGUACGGGCAGGGGUACCUUUACCUUUACCUUUAUGAUGUAAGUAAUGGGCCCUGCCUGCUAGCCUGCUCCCUAAAAUAUCACUGGUUUGCUAUUAAUAGACUUCUUCUUAAUUGUAUUUCAGUUCAACAAUUACUUUGAUAAAAUACAUAUUUUGUUAUGUGCAAAUGGCUUUAGAUACCUAUUAGGUCCAUAAAUUACCAUAUAGCAUAUAUUCAACAUAAAAAACAGUGACAAUUUGUUGUUGACAAAGGACAGCUGGACAUAUAAAGGGCCCAUUUACCUUCAGUAGCUUAGGGCUCAUCAAACCUACCGUAAAUCUGAAUCCUCAUCUAGUGUGCUUGGCCUAGAAAAUGCUAUUGGUAUCCCUGACUGAGACAUUGUGAUGGUUUACCAUUACUCACUCAAACCAUUUUUCUAUCGAAAAGUAGUGGUUCUUGGUAUAGUCCACAAUUAUCCAAGGCACAAUUGAAAGAGAUGACUCUGAACUUGAAAGCUGUAAAGUGGCUGGGCCUGAGUUAACUCAAGAACUCUUUAUCCCUAUAGGAACCAUGCAUAUCUACUCAGAAGACAGGCCCAUUGAGUUCCAUUGGCUUUACUAUCAGGUAAACAGUCUGGUCCUACCCAUUGAAAUUAAUGGGCAUGACUAACUUCAAAAGCUGCAAUGGAUCUCCUCUAAGCAGAACUCAGCUGGAUACAACCCUAAGAAUAGGACCACUCCUUUAGUUUGACCCUAAAUAUGUUUGCUCAAAUGUAGGUCCUAUUAAGUUCAAUUAGACUAACUUCCAUAAAAGUAUGUGUAUGGUUGUCUCCCAAUCCUUAAUGCAGUUGGUAUAAUAAACUCUAUGGUUGUGUCCACACAUUUAAAGAGCUCCCCCCACCCCCGAAUCCUGAGAACUGUAGUUUAUAUCAACAGAGCUACAAUUCCCAGGAUUCAUUGGGGAAAGUUGUGCACUUUAAAUGUAUGGUAUACAGGAUAUCUAUGGGAGAAGAAAAGGAUGAGUAAACCCUACAUAAAUCUGGAGAGGAGUCCCUAAGACAGUUGGAUGGCGCCUUGUAUACUUCCUUCCAGCAACUCCUGCAGCCAAACUGGUGCAAAAUGGAUUGCUCUGCUUUCCUUUGGAUCACAUCAGUGAGGCCAAGACUGGGGUCCUGUUAUCUGGGCAGUCCAGGACCUCCAUACACACUGCCCAGGCUUGCACCCUGGGGGGGAGGUCACUUCAGUACUUCUUAUGCAAUGGUUUGACUUCUCUUCCAGUGGUGCAGUCUAUGUAUCUCAGGACAGACAGAUGCCUACAAUACAGCCUAAUAGACCCCCAACCCCCAUUUAAAUCUGUAGGAUUCAAAGCAUACAUCGUAAAAACCAAAUUCAGCUAGACUUUAAUGUAUCCCUGCAUGCAGUUCAAUCCUACGUUGGUUUACUCAGUAAACUCCACUUUGUAUAGUUGGAGCUACUACAAAGUAAGCAGACAGAGGAACACGGCCUUAAGCAAUCUCAUACUGGCUUACUUGUGAGCGAGCCCCAUUUGAGACUUCCUUCUGAAAACGGAAAACCACACAUAGGAACAGAUUAAAGCAUUUGCAAUCUCUGAUAAAGGAAUGAGACCAUCCAGAUUUUGGGAGGAGUUUGGUGUCAGGACUCUUGGGUUCUAUUCCUGGGCCUAUUACUGAUUCAGCAUCUGAAGCUGAGUGACUCACUUCCCCACUGUGGCCUCAGCUUCCCCAUCUGUGGAAAGCCCUUUGGGAUCAUUGGAUAGGAAGCACUAAAUAUAACACCCACCUCCGCCCCCGCUGAAUUAUCCAAAGGAGGAAGGGGAAAUAAUCAGGACUGGGACAGCUCUGCCAUCCAGAGAGGCACAGCAGGUGCCAAUGAACUGCCAUAUCAGAACCCUCAAAAUUCUUCUACACAAAGAACAAAAUCCAGAAGAAACUUUAAGUGACUACUGGAAAUACCCAUGUAGCUUUUUGAUCCUGAAAUAGCUUUCCUUUAACUUUACUGUAAGAGAGCAUAUCUUGUGAAUAUACUUCCCCCGUCGUAUUUUUAUAUAUAUAUCUUGUCCCAAAGGACAUUUUACCUCAGCUAGGAUGAAUCCCCAAGCAAGGAUAGCACAUUCCCUGAUGAUAACUGGAAUAUAACGCCGGCACCAGAACACAGAGAGGAACCUGAGCACUUUGAUAGCGCUUUCCAGCCUAGGACUCAACAGGCAGGUCACUUUGGAACUCCAGACACACCCAACAGCAACCCAUGCUCCACUCCAACCACAAGGGGGGCCAGGCACCCCACACAUGUAAACUAGAGAAGGGGGCAGCAAUGCUAUACAGCUGAAAUCCUGUGACUCACCCUUGGCUCUCACUCCUGCCCCCCUCCCAGCCUUUAUUACAUGUGGAUGCUGUGUCCUGUCUGAACUGAAUUGCCCUAACACACUCUUCUUCGGACAGUAGGGAGUGGUGUCUCCCAAACACAAGGCAAGCACUCGUCUCCAACUAAGCUCUCUGUUCAAAAAGGCCAGGUACUCCACUUCAGUCAUUGUUGCUGCUGGCCGAACACUAAUCUUGUUGGGACCUGAGCCAAAAGCAGGCCGAGUUCUCCUUCCCUCUCCCCCCCUUCCCCUUCCCCUUCCCCUCCUUGUUACUCAUGUAAAAUUAAGUCAAGGCUGCGGGUAACCCUUCACUGCCAUAUACACUUAACCUGGGAGUAACUCCCAUUGAAUACAAUGCAUAAGACUGCACAGUUAAUCAGACACUGUGUAGUAAAAUGGUGGUUUUUCCAGUAUGACCUUAUGAGUGAAGUAGGGAUUUGAAUCCACUUUUAGAAAGAAAAUAAAAAACACAGAGAUCAACUGAAGACUUAUGUUGCUGGCAAACAGCUGCAAAACAGCAGGGUGUGUGUUUUUACCCACAAUGCAACUAACACAUGCCUGCAACCCCAGCUUGGAAGACUGAAAGUUCAGAACUAGAGAGAGAGGAGUUUUUAUUCCAUGAUUACUGUAACAGAGCAGCCUCUACACAGAUGCUCAUGUGCUGUCAGAGGGAGAGAGGAAUGUAGCAGCCUCUUCUGCCUUUGGGGAGUGUCUGAAAUGGGGAAGGUUAUGGCUGGCACCUGUACAUGGAUGAAUGCACCACAAAAGGAUGAAUGCUGUGUCCUGAUCCACCACAUGCUGAUCCACCGCUGAUCCACCACAAAAGGAUCAACUGUGCUCACGCACGGGCUCCAGCACAGCCAGCAGCCCUUAGCUGCCCUCUCCAAUUGGGACAUGCAUAUGGAGACUCCCACUUGAACGGUCUCUGACAGAAAUAAACAAACCUGGUCUGGACUAAACGCCAGACAGUCAUAAAAACAGAGACAGAGGUAGGGCUCUUAUCAGGGGAGAGGCUGUAACAGAGCCAGGCCUGGCCACAGGGCACAGAGUCCCAGAAGAAUGUACUCGGGGCACUGGGUGUAGCCAGCAGCAUGCUACCUUUAUGUUGCCAGCCAGCUGGAAAUCUGAAAGAUGGAUAUUAAGCUGGUUCCAAUUUGCUCAAAACCAGACCCAACUCACUCCACAGGAUCCUAGUUCCCAAUUUUCAACCAGGCUCAGAAAUCCGAAGCCAAAUGUAAGAAAUGCUCCUUUGUUCUCUAUCUCUCUCUAAUCAGCAGACCCCACUGCUCAUCCAGUGCUGGUUUCCGCACCUGCUUUCUAUGCCUUUCUCCAUCAGCCAGAUACAGCUUUUCCAACCCAAUCUCAGCCUGGUUCUUUUUGGUUCUGUUUGACUCCAACCACCUCAAGCCAUUUCUUUACAGAUCUGCAUAUGCCCCUCCCCACAUAACAUACAAAAAACCAAGCCACCCCUUUUUACUUGUGUUCAGAGACUCAGGGUAGGAGGAGGGUGGGUGGGUGGGUGGGUGGGUGGGUGAAGAAGGGGCUUGGCCAAGCUAUGGCUUCUCUGAACAGUUAGGGAUUAGUGCCAAGGGCAGGGAGUUUCUAAUCCUGGCAUUUCGUGUCUCUGCCCAUCCCAGGGCUGUGCCCGUCUGCCUCCUACUCAGCCUGUGCAGCAAUGCAUGCCUCUGCCCUUCCCCCUAAAAAAGCAAGUGGGAUACUUUCGAGGCAGAGAAAAAUGAAAACCUGUUUGUGGGAAGCCCUCCACCCAAAGUCUAUAUGAGAAUGCAUGCUUGUUUUUCUUCCUGCUGAGGAGUUUUUAAGUGGUUUCAGUGGGAUACUGUAUAUGAGAUAGAUCCCAAGUGUUAACAGUAUAGUCCCAUUGCCAGAAUGUAAGCUUUCCUCACCCGUCUCUUUCAUUCAUGGCACUUCUCUUCUGAUUAAAUAGAUAGGGCACCUGUGGUUUUAUUUUAUUUUUAAAGCAUCUAGGUUUCUAGAACUUAGUGUUGUCAGGAAAAUACUCUUCCAUGAUUAAACUGUGUAUUGCGCUCUUAGAAGAUAACAGUUGCAGCUGCAGCUCCAUAGCUUCCAACACUCCUCCUUGCCCUGGCACAAAGAUUUCAAUGGGGAAUCUGAAAAUGGCCAAACUUGAGUGUGAGACUCCAGGAUCAAGAUCUCAUCCUCCAAGAUUGGCUCAUUCUUUCUACGGCCGCCUUCGAACCCACCAAUGUAUUGAUAUGAAAAUUGCCUGCUGAACCUGAACAACGCAAUCCAGCUCUGCCACCUCCAACAUGUCCUGCCAAAUUCCAUCUGAUCCCCUUCAACAGCUGUCAGUGGCAACAAAAGCUGAAGCGACUGAACAUAUAUUUACAAAAAAGGGGGGGGCAUACCAAAUACAAAUCAGCCAUACAAAAUAUAUAUAUCAUCUAUCAUCAAGAUGAUUUCCAAGCCAGUCAAUAAAUGGGAUAUUUGGAAUUAUCCCAAGAAAGUCCUGAGAAGCAGUGCGGGCCAAGCAAUAGUGUCUUUGCAGGAGAGAAAGAAGAACAGCCACUCACACAGACUCAUGCUGCUAAAGACUCGAGGCUCGUAUCAAUAAUGCAAUACUUCUCGGAGAUAAAAACUUCUUCCCACUAUUAUUAAAGAAAUAGCUGAGAGUAACUGGCAUAGAAGGAUUUAGUAUUUCACCCAGGAUCUGGAAACCUCAUAUUGCUUAGAUCAUGCCAUGCAAACAUAGUGGGGAGGACUUUUGGUGGUGCUUCCCCCACCCCCACCCCUCUGCCGCUUGACACAACCACCUUACUAUGGCUUACAAUAGGUCUGGCCCUGCCUGUGCUUGACUCACACAGCAAUGAGGCAUGGGUUCAUGUUGCAAGAGCCAUUCCCACCAGCCCUUCAAACUGGGCAGUAGGCAGAACAGAACCAACCCCCCAACAUCCUCCUGUGAUUUAUCCAGAAUUUUAAAAGCACAUUUCAGGCAGAGGAGGCAGUGCUGAAGGGGAUGUAGAACAGGGUUUCCCAAACUUGGGUCUCUAGCUGUUUUUGGACUACAAUACCCACCAUCCUUGACCACUGGCUCUGCUAGCUAGGGAUGAUGGGAGUUGUAGUCCAACAACAGCUGGAGACCCAAGUUUAGGAAACCACAAUGUAGAAACUGGAGUGGAGGAUCUCUAGGGUACUACCACAUUCUCAUGAAAUUCCAAGUCUUCACUGGAAGACAAUAAUUUUUAUCUGCCAUGCAUCUAUUAAAGGCACAGGAGCUCUGUCCAGGGGGCGGGAUUGGCAAACCCACACAUGCACAAGCAAACAAUGUAGUAAGGCAGUUGUUUGAACAUACAAGGCUACUGUCAUUCUUUUCUUUUCUUUUUUGCAAACAUUGUUUAAUUCCUGUCUUGUUCAUACUGCCUGUUUAACACCUACAUUUGUACAUGGUAGCUUUGGCGAUAUACUGAGGUUGCAGGUAAGUCCAAUGCAGUAAAACAGGGAAGAAGCAGUCAUCCCUAAAGCAGAGAGAGAGAGGGAAAAAACAUUGCGCACACGCAACACAGAAAAGGUACAAUAUGACAGCCAGUGUGUUGCAGUGAUAAGAGUGCAGGAUUGGGAUCUAUAAUGCUAGGAUUCAAAUCCACCACCUGCCCCCCAGCCAUGAAACUCACCAGGCGACCCCAGGACAGUCACUAUGUCUUGUCUUGGCUUAACCUUCCUCUCAGGGCUGUUGUGACAACAAAAAAUGGGCAAGGGGAAGGAUCACGUAUGCUCUUUGGAGGCAAAGUGGGUUAUUUAUUCAUUCAUUAUUACAUUUGUAUCUCACCUUUCCUCCAAGGAGCUCAAGGUGGUGUCCACAGUACUGCUACUCCCCAUUCUUUUCUCACUACAACCCUUUGAGGUAGGCCAGGUUGAGAGUGAAAACUGGCCCCAAAUCACUUGGCGAGCCACCCAACUCCACUCACUAUGGCCCCCUCCACCUCUUUCCCCCUCUUCUUCCUAAUGUAACACUAAUAUCUCAACAGAUGAAACUGAUCUGUAGAAAAUGUAACUUGAAAAAAGAGACACUGCUAAUACUUUUGUAAACCAAGAAAUCUUUAAUAAAAAAUAUGUUAAAAAAUAAUAAUAAAAUUAUAGUUAGAUGUAAUUCACCAUAAAUUAUAUUGUGAUUCACUAAUGAUAUUUCUUAUGUCACAAUCACAAAUGUUUGUUUACUGUCAUUCUUUUUAACAGGACCCUGUGCCUUUAACAGCUUCCGUAGGCGC